rnacentral:rRNA from 1 species
CCUACGGGUGGCAGCAGUGAGGAAUAUUGGUCAAUGGGCGCGAGCCUGAACCAGCCAAGUCGCGUGAGGGAAGACGGUCCUAUGGAUUGUAAACCUCUUUUGUCGGGGAGCAAAAGACGCCACGCGUGGCGUUCCGAGCGUACCCGAAGAACAAGCAUCGGCUAACUCCGUGCCAGCAGCCGCGGUAAUACGGAGGAUGCGAGCGUUAUCCGGAUUUAUUGGGUUUAAAGGGUGCGCAGGCGGAAGAUCAAGUCAGCGGUAAAAUUGAGAGGCUCAACCUCUGCGAGCCGUUGAAACUGGUGUUCUUGAGUGAGUGAGAAGUAUGCGGAAUGCGUGGUGUAGCGGUGAAAUGCAUAGAUAUCACGCAGAACUCCGAUUGCGAAGGCAGCAUACCGGCGCUCAACUGACGCUCAUGCACGAAAGUGUGGGUAUCGAACAGGAUUAGAUACCCGGGUAGUC